GCAAUCGCUAUUGUUUACAAGUUCAUCCGUGAAAGAUUGAGAAGUUUUGCUGUUAAUAUAGAAGUUCCACGUGUUAAAACGAGUUGAGGUUUUUGUCAGAUUGAUGAAUGUGAAAUUAAGAGGACCCAUUUUGAGAAUGCAUCAAGAGAGAUAAAGUCUAAAAUGUGAUACUGUCAAUGUGACUAACCUUGAAGUAAACAUAUGACACAAUGUUUUUUCAAUGUCAUGGGCAUAUAAUGAAGAGAAAACAGAGAUGCUUGUUUGACAGAUACAGUAAUAGUAGGAGUUAUGAGGGAAGAUAGAUUGCAGUGAUAACUAUAUUGAAGCACCACUUCAUCACCAAGAACAUGAGAUGACUUAUCAAUGUUUUCAAUGUGUUUGAACACCCAUUUUAAAUAAUACAGCUCAGAGUGAAUUUUUCAAAAUAAUUAAUUCUGUUUUCAAAGUUUUUUUAUUUAGAUGUUAGUUGAUCUUGUCAAGUACUUUAUUUUUUUAGGGAUGGCAACAAAUACUAAAAUCAAUACUCGAGUACUCGGUCAUUUUUCAGAUCGAGUAUUCGGUUACUCUGAUGAUUUCCAAUGAUCUUUAAAUUUUUAUCACACAAUAUCAACACCGUUUGCAUGCUAUCUUCAUUUUCUAUUUUAAUUCAUAGAAUUUGUAGCUAUAAAUAGGAUUGCAAGAAAUACAUAUAAUAAAUAUAAACAUAAGAAAUGUCAAUGACAGCAUUUAUUAUAUACCUAUAAAUUUUCUUCCUGAAACACAGGAUAAUCUUGAAGCGCAAAUAGGCUUCAACGGUUAGAAAAUUCUGUAUUAUGUUAGAGACAAAUACAGUACCAUAUAUGAAAGGACUGGACUAUUUUUGACGUUGGUUCUGAUCUUAGCUGUGUAUAACGUAGUAUAUGGAUACGGCAACCAAAAU